UGAUUGUCCAAACGCAAUUCUUGAUGUUUGCUUGAAAGGCCGAGGCUUGUGUCUGGACAUCGGC
rnacentral:pre_miRNA from 1 species